rnacentral:tRNA from 1 species
GCCUUCUUGGCUCAGUUGGCUAGAGCGCAGGUCUCAUAAUCCUGAGGUCGCAAGUUCGAGCCUUGCAGAGGGCA